AUUGAACGCUGGCGGCAGGCCUAACACAUGCAAGUCGAGCGAGCGGCGGACGGGUGAGUAAGGUCUGGGAAACUGCCUGAUGGAGGGGGAUAACUACUGGAAACGGUAGCUAAUACAGCAUACCAUCAGAUGUGAGCAGAUGGGAUGAGCUAGUGGGUGGGGUAACGGCUCACCUAGGCGACGAACCCUAGCUGGUCUGAGAGGAUGACCAGCCACACUUGAACUGGUACACGGUCCAGACUCCUACGAGAGGCAGCAGUGGGUAAUAUUGCACAAUGGGCGCAAGCCUGAUGCAGCCAUGCCGCGUGUGUGAAGAAGGCCUUCGGGUUGUAAAGCACUUUCAGCGGGGAGGCGUUACCCGCAGAAGAAGCACCGGCUAAAUCCGUGCCAGCCGCCGCGGUAAUUC
rnacentral:rRNA from 1 species